GACGAACGCUGGCGGCGUGCUUAACACAUGCAAGUCGAACGAAGUGGCGAACGGGUGAGUAACGCGUAAUCAACCUGCCCUUCAGAGGGGGACAAAAGUUGGAAACGACUGCUAAUACCGCAUACGGAAGGAGGGGAUUGCGUCUGAUUGGCUAGUUGGAGGGGUAACGGCCAACCAAGGCGAUGAUCAGUAGCCGGUCUGGGAUGAUGAGCUGCCACAUUGGAACUGAGACACGGCCCAGACGCCUACGGGAGGCAGCAGUGGGGAAUCUUCCGCAAUGGACGAAAGUCGGACGGUGCAACGCCGCGUGAGUGAUGACGGCCUUCGGGUUGUAAAGCUCUGUUAAUCGGGACGCGGUACCGGAAUAGAAAGCCACGGCUAACUACGUGCCAGCAGCCGCGGUAAUUC
rnacentral:rRNA from 1 species